AGCCUGAUCCAGCCAUGCCGCGUGCGGGAAGAAGGCCUUCGGGUUGUAAACCGCUUUUGUCAGGGGAGAAACGCUCUGAGUUAAUACCUCGGGGUAAUGACGGUACCUGAAGAAUAAGCACCGGCUAACUACGUGCCAGCAGCCGCGGUAAUACGUAGGGUGCAAGCGUUAAUCGGAAUUACUGGGCGUAAAGCGUGCGCAGGCGGUUAUGCAAGACAGAUGUGAAAUCCCCGGGCUCAACCUGGGAACUGCAUUUGUGACUGCAUAGCUAGAGUACGGUAGAGGGGGAUGGAAUUCCGCGUGUAGCAGUGAAAUGCGUAGAUAUGCGGAGGAACACCGAUGGCGAAGGCAAUCCCCUGGACCUGUACUGACGCUCAUGCACGAAAGCGUGGGGAGCAAACAGGAUUAGAUACCCUGGUAGUCCACGCCCUAAACGAUGUCAACUGGUUGUUGGACGGCUUGCUGUUCAGUAACGAAGCUAACGCGUGAAGUUGACCGCCUG
rnacentral:rRNA from 1 species